rnacentral:rRNA from 1 species
UAUUGUUUUAGAUAUUAAGUAUUACGUGACAUAGUAGUUGGUAAAUAUAUUUUUAGGGGUGAUAGGCUUUUCAAAUUUGUUGAUAACUUGAUACGUAAUAAAAUUAUUAAGUAUUAGAUCAUACUAUGAAAGUUAAGUUUUAUAGUAGUAAUUAAUUUAGAAAAAUGGAUAUAUUAUAGUUUAAUAGCUAAUUAAUAGUAAUAUAAAUAUUUUUUUCUUUAUUUUUGUUUAAUGCAUUACGUUAUUUUUACUUAAGUAUAUAUUAAUAAUGUUAAUAUAAGUAAUAUUUAUAAAUAAAUUAAAGGAACUCGGCAAAAAUAUUUUUCAGCUGUUUAUCAAAAACAUAACUAUAUGGUAUUAUAUGUAGCUGUUCCUGCUCAAUGAUUUUUAAAUAGCCGCAGUACCCUGACUGUGCAAAGGUAGCAUAAUCAGUUGGCUUUUAAUUGAAGUCUAGAAUGAAUGGAUUUUUGGAAAAUAACUUUCUCUUUUUUAUUUUUUUGAAAUUAGUUUGUAAGUGAAAAUACUUACAUAUAUAUAAAGGACGAGAAGACCCUAGAAAUUUAAAUAUUAUUUUGUUGGGGCGACAGAAUUACAAAAAACUAAUUUGCUUAACGUGACGUUUUUACAGUUCGAUUAAAUUACUCUAGGGAUAACAGCAUAAUUUUCAUAGUUUGUGACCUCGAUGUUGGACUAGGAUAUUAAAUGGUUUAGAAGAUCUUUAAUAAGGCUCUGUUCGAGCU